AGAGCUCUGGACUCCUCCCUUUCCUGCCAGAUGCUGGCAACCAAGCUACCUUGCCCUUUGAGCUCUGAACAAUCUGCAGGAGAGAGUCAAGCUUUCUGGGUAGAUCGACACCAAGACAGCACAUAGAUUGCUGCAGCACGGUCAAUGUGUAGUAUCCCUGCAGCUAUGAAUCCUUGCAGCAGAUAAGCCCAGCCACCCUUCCUUUCUGAAAAAAAUAGCAAAGUAAUCAGGACAGAGGGGAUGACUACACUGACAAAUAAUAUGGGAAAUGCUCCAAGAUCAAGAUGAUCAGAUUCGUAUUGUUUUUCUGGUGUACAAGCAGAAACACUAACCAAAUGCAACGGAAGCUGGUGGACACUGUCAGGCUUCAUCCUGCCUAAUUCUGUGCUGGCCUGGGCAAACGAAUGACACACAGCCCAGCAUCCAAGUCUGCAUGUUGAUAAAGGAGAUAAAGCACAGCUGGUAAGUGCAGUACAGAGAGAGGAGAGGAGAGAGAACUGUUCUAGCUGGUUGAGGACAGUGGCUCCAUUCAUACAUUGUCUGUCUUCAACUCAAGGCUCCGGUUUCACCCUUGGACUUCUACAAAAGUCGUUCUGAAUCUGCUCCAGCUGGAAGAAGAAGAAGAACCAGUGUCUAUAAAACUGAUCUGAGAGCACAUUGCUCCCAUUUGGGACAGGGUGAGGCACGUAGGAGUCAGGUUGUCUGCCUCUCUUUCUUUGCCUGGAGAAUGAGCUGAAAGCAUUCUCAUGGGAUGGGAAGCGAUGCCCCCUUCACCACACACUUCCUUACAAGAAAGGGCUCAGGGGUGGGGUGGGGGGGAUGAAUGUGUCACAUGGAACAUCCUUCACAGUUCAUUUUAA